UGGACCAGUAAUGAUGACUAAUGACAUAGGAGUCAUAGAUGAUGAAAAAAUAUGUGUCCGAAACUCGGAGGUCCAA
ensembl:snoRNA